CUGGCUAAAAGAGUUGGUUUGUUGGAGCAGCUGCCUUCUUCAAGACUUGGGUUCGAAACUUAGGUCCAACACAUCAGUUCUUUCUUCUAAACCCAAAACAAAUUUCAUCCUUCACCAUCACACGUUUCUUUCUUCAGGGAUCAAGCAGCUGUCGAAUCUUUUUAUGGUGAAGUGGAUGAUGUGAGACCAAAUUGUAUUUGGAUUUCAAGGAUAUCUUUCAGAAAUGAAGUUCUCUUGAUGUGAAUUGAGAUGGACAUAUUUUUGACGAGGUUUAAUUCUCCUCAACCAAGUUCUAGUUUUAGAGACAAUUCCUCCCAUCUUGUAGAAGAGUUUGAUGUGAAAUCACUUAAUACCGACCCCGAAGAGAGAAUACCUAUUGAUAGAUAUAACCCUAGAAUACGGUAUGAAGUGAGAAGACACUACAUCCAAAGAGGGCCCUCCAACCAGAUCACAAAUUUCCUAAAACUUUAUUUGGGAAGAAAAUGCGCCAAUUUAGUUCGGGUUGGUUUAAAGGUUCGUAUUCUAGAUGGUUAGAGUAUAGUGUGAAGAAAGAUGUCGCAUUUUGUUUAUGUUGUUAUUUAUUCAAAAAUGAUUACGUUAAUGGAAGCACAGGUGACUCUUUCACAAAAAUCGGCUUUAAAGCUUAGAAUAAAGCAACCGAAAGAUUUGAUCUACAUGUUGGUGAAGUAAGUAAUCUCCACCAUAAGUGCUUCAACAAUAUGUUAGCCUUGUCAAAUCAAUCUCAAUCAAUUCAAGCUGCUUUUGAAAAGCAAUCCGAUCAAUAAAAAACUGAAUAUCGAAUUCGUUUAAAUGCCUCAAUUGAUGUUGCAAGGUUUCUCUUGGACUUUGGGGUGAUUGAAUGUGAAGGUGAUGUUAAUGAUAGGUUGCAAGCAGAAGCUUUUUCUAGUAAAAGUAAAGCAUUUGAAUUUGUUUUCUUGCUUCACUUAAUGUUGAAAGUGUUGAUAAUGUCAAACGAGUUGAGCAAAGCAUUACAGAAGAAAGAUCAAGAUAUUGUCAAUGCCAUGGUAUUUCUUGAUAUCACAAAGGAAAGGUUGCAAGAAAUGAGAGAUAAAGGAUGGGAACCAUUGAUGGAUAAAGUAUAUUUAUUUUGUGCAAAACAUGAUAUUUUGGUGCCCAAGAUGGAAGAAUUCUAUAUUCCUGGAAAGUCGAAGCGUAGGCCUUCUAGUGUUACUUAUUCACAUCACUUACGUGUUGAGCUUUUUUAUGCCGUGAUUGAUUUGCAACUUCUGGAGCUUAAUAGUCGUUUUGAUGUUGUGAGUAGUAACCUGCUUCUUGGUAUGGCUAGCUUGAAUCCGGCUAACUCAUUUGCUAAUUUGAUAAGGAAAGAAUAAUGACAUUGGCCAAGCAUUAUCCCGAUGAGUUUGGUGAAUUGAAGCUUCGAGAUCUUAGUCGCCAACUUGACACUUUCAUAUGGCAUAUGCAACAUGGUGACCCUAGGUUCUCUGAUUUGAAAGGAAUUGGUGAUUUAGCGAAAGCAUUGGUUGAGACAAAUCUUGUGGAGACUUAUUCACUUGUUCAUUUGCUUGUGAAGUUGACUUUAAUUUUACCUGUCGCAACUGCGACGGUGGAAAGAGCAUUCUCAUCUAUGAAGUACAUCAAAGAUGAAUUGCGUAGUAGUAUUGGUGAUGUAUUUUUAAAUGAUUGUUUAGUUUGUUACUUUGAGAAGGAAGUGUUUGUAAA